AGCGAACGCUGGCGGCAGGCCUAACACAUGCAAGUCGAACGAAGUCUUCGGACUUAGUGGCGGACGGGUGAGUAACACGUGGGAACGUGCCUUUAGGUUCGGAAUAACUCAGGGAAACUUGUGCUAAUACCGAAUGUGCCCUUCGGGGGAAAGAUUUAUCGCCUUUAGAGCGGCCCGCGUCUGAUUAGGUAGUUGGUGGGGUAAUGGCCCACCAAGGCCACGAUCAGUAGCUGGUCUGAGAGGAUGACCAGCCACAUUGGGACUGAGACACGGCCCAAACUCCUACGGGAGGCAGCAGUGGGGAAUCUUGCGCAAUGGGCGAAAGCCUGACGCAGCCAUGCCGCGUGGAUGAUGAAGGUCUUAGGAUUGUAAAAUCCUUUCACCGGUGAAGAUAAUGACUGUAGCCGGAGAAGAAGCCCCGGCUAACUUCGUGCCAGCAGCCGCAGUAAGAC
rnacentral:rRNA from 1 species